rnacentral:lncRNA from 1 species
GUUAGAGGACAAGAUUCAGGGCAUAUGUUAAAGGUUUAACUAUAGACAAGAAGAAUGACAUCCUGAAAACAGGAGCAGAAAAGGUACCCUUGAGCAUUCCAAAUCAAUUACAGAAUCACAGUCUGUCUGGAGCAGAGAGAAUGCUACUGUGGUGUUGUCACUUUCUUCAAUCAAUCACGUAUCUCAACUUUGAUUCAUUUUCUUUAUCUGCACCUGAUGGCCUAAGUAUCUCUGACUGGGGGUGAAGAAGGAGUAUGAGGACCCAGAGUGACCACAAGUCUACCAUUGCAGGUUGUUAUAAAUCUUGUUUUGACAUCGGCCAGGUGCUUGCUUAUCUAAUAGUAAAGAAAUACUUUCUCUUUUGCUUGUGAGCUUUAUCAGUCUGAACCCAAGGCUGGGAAAUGAGGGGUGAGUUGUAUCUGGAAGUAUUGUGACACAAAG